rnacentral:tRNA from 1 species
GCGUCGGUCGUUCAGUGGCAGGAUGCUCGCCUGCAAGGCGGGAGGCUAGGGUUUGAUCCUCGGCUGGCGCG